rnacentral:rRNA from 1 species
UACGGAAGGCAGCGGUGGGGAAUAUUGCACAAUGGGCGAAAGCCUGAUGCAGCUAUGCCGCGUGUAUGAAGAAGGCCUUAGGGUUGUAAAGUACUUUCAUCGGGGAGGAAAAACAAAACUAAUAAUUUUAUUUCUUGACGUUACCCGAAAAAGAAGCACCGGCUAACUCCGUGCCAGCAGCCGCGGUAAUACGGAGGGUGCUAGCGUUAAUCAGAAUUACUGGGCGUAAAGAGCACGUAGGUGGUUUUUUUAAGUCAGAUGUGAAAUCCCUGGGCUUAACCUGGAACUGCAUUUUGAAACUGAAAUACUAGAGUAUCGUAGAGGGAGGUAGAAUUCUAGGUGUAGCGGUGAAAUGCGUAGAUAUCUGGAGGAAUACCUGUGGCGAAAGCGGCCUCCUAAACGAAUACUGACACUGAGGUGCGAAAGCGUGGGGAGCAAACAGGGAUUAGAUACC